UUAUAACUUUCAGCAACGGAUCUCUUGGCUCUCGCAUCGAUGAAGAACGCAGCGAAUUGCGAUAUGUAAUGUGAAUUGCAGAUUUUCAGUGAAUCAUCGAAUCUUUGAACGCACCUUGCGCUCCUUGGUAUUCCGAGGAGCAUGCCUGUUUGAGUGUC
rnacentral:rRNA from 3 species